rnacentral:siRNA from 1 species
AGAGAAUCGCGGGAGCAACGAC